UACGUAGGGGGCUAGCGUUGUCCGGAAUCAUUGGGCGUAAGAGCGAUGUAGGCGGUCCGGUAAGUCCGCUGUGAAAGUACGGGGGUCAACCCUCGAAUGCCGGUGGAUACUGUCGGGCUAGGAGUGCGGAAGAGGCGGAGUGGAAUUCCUGGUGUAGCGGUGAAAUGCGCAGAUAUCAGGAGGAACCACCUAUUGCGAAGGCAGCUCGCUGGGACGUAACUGACGCUGGAGAACGCGAAAGCGUGGGGAGCAAACAGG
rnacentral:rRNA from 1 species